CGCGCAGGCGGUUUGAUAAGUUGGAUGUGAAAGCCUACGGCUCAACCGUAGAACUGCAUCCAAAACUGUCAAACUAGAGUCUGGGAGGGGAAGAUGGAAUUAGUUGUGUAGGGGUAAAAUCCGUAGAGAUAACUAGGAAUACCAAAAGCGAAGGCGAUCUUCUGGAACAGUACUGACGCUGAGGCGCGAAAGCGUGGGGAGCAAACA
rnacentral:rRNA from 1 species